UGACCUCGAAUCAGGUAGGGAUACCCGCUGAACUUAAGCAUAUCAAUAAGCGGAGGAAAAGAACCAACAGGGAUUACCUCAGUAACGGCGAGUGAAGCGGUAACAGCUCAAAUUUGAAAUCUGGUCCGGUUACGGGCCCGGAGUUGUAAUUUGUAGAAGAUGCUUUGGUAAUGAGUCCGGCCUAAGUUCCUUAGGAACAGGACGUCAUAGAGGGUGAGAACCCGUAUGCGGCCGAGUACUCAGUGCCAUGUAAAGCUCUUUCGACGAGUCGAGUUGUUUGGGAAUGCAGCUCAAAAUGGGUGGUAAAUUUCAUCUAAAGCUAAAUAUUGGCCAGAGACCGAUAGCGCACAAGUAGAGUGAUCGAAAGAUGAAAAGCACUUUGGAAAGAGAGUUAAACAGUACGUGAAAUUGUUGAAAGGGAAGCGCUUGCAACCAGACUUGGGCACUGUGGAUCAUCCGAGGUUCUCCUCGGUGCACUCGGCAGUGCGCAGGCCAGCAUCAGUUUGGGUGGUUGGAUAAAGACUUGUGGAAUGUAGCUCCUUUCGGGGAGUGUUAUAGCCACAGGUGCCAUGCGACCAACCCGGACUGAGGACCGCGCUUCGGCUAGGAUGCUGGCGUAAUGGUUGUAAGCGACCCGUCUUGAAACACGGACCAAGGAGUCUAACAUCUAUGCGAGUGUUUGGGUGUUAAACCCAUACGCGGAAUGAAAGUGAACGUAGGUGAGAACCUGUAAGGGGGCAUCAUCGACCGAUCCGGAUGUCUUCGGAUGGAUUUGAGUAAGAGCAUAGCUGUUGGGACCCGAAAGAUGGUGAACUAUGCCUGAAUAGGGUGAAGCCAGAGGAAACUCUGGUGGAGGCUCGCA
rnacentral:ncRNA from 1 species